rnacentral:rRNA from 1 species
GAUGAACGCUGGCGGCGUGCCUAAUACAUGCGAGUCGAGCGAAUGGAUUAAGAGCUUGCUCUUAUGAAGUUAGCGGCGGACGGGUGAGUAACACGUGGGUAACCUGCCCAUAAGACUGGGAUAACUCCGGGAAACCGGGGCUAAUACCGGAUAACAUGUUGAACCGCAUGGUUCGAAAUUGAAAGGCGGCUUCGGCGGUCACUUAUGGAUGGACCCGCGUCGCAUUAGCUAGUUGGUGAGGUAACGGCUCACCAAGGCAACGAUGCGUAGCCGACCUGAGAGGGUGAUCGGCCACACUGGGACUGAGACACGGCCCAGACUCCUACGGGAGGCAGCAGUAGGGAAUCUUCCGCAAUGGACGAAAGUCUGACGGAGCAACGCCGCGUGAGUGAUGAAGGCUUUCGGGUCGUAAAACUCUGUUGUUAGGGAAGAACAAGUGCUAGUUGAAUAAGCUGGCACCUUGACGGUACCUAACCAGAAAGCCACGGCUAACUACGUGCCAGCAGCCGCAGUAA